UAUCCAUUAGUCAAGUUGAAGCCACUGCUGUUAUCCCCAAGCUUAAAUCCCUCCUUUUCACCUAGUUUCAAACAAGAUGUUGUCAAAAAAGGAAAAUUCUCAGUCAAGAAUCGCAAGAGUAUGGUUCUUCAUCCAGACAAUAAUUCCAACCAGAGGCGUAUUCAGAAUUUCAACAAGAUGGGUGCAUGAUUACGAAAAAAAGCAUCUUAAAUAUAAAUUUGAUCAAUUUGACUUUUAAGUUCUUAAUAUGAACUAUUAAACUUCAAAAAUUAUAGGUGCAAAAUAUAUAAUAGUACUAGUUUUAGAUUUUAAUGCACACAUUAAUUUAAUUAUAUAAAAGAAUUCCAGGGCUAAAUUUUUAGGAAAA